rnacentral:rRNA from 1 species
CCUACGGGUGGCAGCAGUGGGGAAUAUUGCACAAUGGGGGAAACCCUGAUGCAGCGACGCCGCGUGAGUGAAGAAGUAACUCGGUAUGUAAAACUCUAUCAGCAGGGAAGAAAAUGACGGUACCUGAGUAAGAAGCCCCGGCUAACUACGAGACAGCAGCCGCGGUAAUACGUAGGGGGCAGGCGUAAUCCGGAUUUACUGGGGGUAAAGGGAGCGUAGACGGCAGUGCAAGGCUGGAGUGAAAGGCGGGGGCGCAAGCCCCGGACUGUUGUGGAAACUGGACGGCUGGAGUGCAGGAGAGGUAGGUGGAAUUCGUGGUGUAGCGGUGAAAUGCGUAGAUAUUAGGAGGAACGCCGGUGGCGAAGGCGGCUUACUGGACUGCAACUGACGUUGAGGCUCGAAGGCGUGGGGAGCAAACAGGAUUAGAUACCCCAGUAGUC